rnacentral:rRNA from 1 species
UACGUAGGGUCCGAGCGUUGUCCGGAAUUAUUGGGCGUAAAGGGCUCGUAGGCGGUUUGUCACGUCGGGAGUGAAAACCAGGUGCUUAACACCUGGCCUGCUUUCGAUACGGGCAGACUUGAGGCAUGCAGGGGAGAACGGAAUUCCUGGUGUAGCGGUGAAAUGCGCAGAUAUCAGGAGGAACACCGGUGGCGAAGGCGGUUCUCUGGGCAUGUUCUGACGCUGAGGAGCGAAAGUGUGGGGAGCGAACAGG